AUUCCAUAACUGAGCCAAGGGAGGGGAAGCCGUGUCAUUCUGUUCCUCCAAGAGGCAGCGCCCUCUUCACAACGUUGUGCGUGACAUGGAGUUCCCUCCCUUCUCCUCCUGUAGGGCCUGUUUCUGUUCCCGCAUGAAUCCCAUUUCCUUUCACCCUGUGGACCUCCACCAGUCCUACUGUUCUCCAAAAUAAGAACACUGGAAAGAAGGUCAAGGCUGCACUGCCAGGGCCUCCAAUCAACCCACGGAUCGCACCCUGGGUCAGCAGCACCUCCCACAGGCCUGGGGUUGUGUUGGGGCCUGCGGGAGGUGAUGAUGGCCGAUGUCACUUAUACAGUGACUGUUCUAUGCCUGGAGUGACCUUAGAGACUUGGAAAAUAUUCAGCCCUCAAAAGAAUCCCAGCAGCUUCUGAAUAUUUGGAAACAAUGGAACAGAAUUCAAGGACUCCAGGAUGCUGGGGCACACGUAGGAAUCCCAGAGGAAGGAUUCCCUGUGUCAUCCGACCCAGGGAGCACCCUUAGAGCAGGAGCAGACAGUGAGGACAGGACAGGAAGGUGCUGUUGCAGGUCCCGAGAGUGUAGAGAAAGACAGUGGGCUCCUUUCACCUCCUGGCACACGUAUGAAGGACUUUGUCUUCAGGAUCACGUAGCGCCUGUGUGGGGCUGUGUCCCACCCCACACUCAACUUUACACCUGCAUACUCAUCUUGUGAUCUCUAUUCACAAAAAAAUGCUACCUCAUCAAAACCCAGGGCUCUGGUGCUUGCUGUGGCAAAGGCAGGAAUGAUCUGGUCUUCUGCAAAAUGUAAUCUUUAGACACCAGAGCAAGAAAUGAUGGUGACAUACACAACUCGCACAAAGCCCAUGAGAACAAAACUCUUAGGACUUUCUCAUUAAGAUACAAAAAAUCCCAAGUCAGACUUCUACACCUGUUUCAUAUUUAGUCACUUCACUGAUCCCAUCCUAGGCUCCAAAACAAGUGUAACCCAAUUCCCAAGAACCCUGUCUCACUGGUCAACCCUGGAGUGUUGGUCCCUACCUGACCAGUCUAUUUCCUCCUGGAUGGAUCCAGAGGUGGUGCCCAUGAG
rnacentral:lncRNA from 1 species